GGUAGCUGAGAUUAGAGAACUCGCUCUACAAACGGAAGAUGUCCUCGAAACAGAGGAAAAAUGCAGUAAUCAAACAGAGGCAAAAUGCAGUAAUACUAGACAUAAUAUGCAUCAAAUAGAAACGAUUUUACCAAAAUGAUUCUUAAGUUAUGGAUUAAUGAAAUUAAAGACAAUUCUUCAACAAGUUCACGCAGCUAAAACUAUAGAAGUGAUUGAAGAAAAGAAUAAAAGAAAAAUAAUUCUUCAAAAAGUUCAUACCACAGAGACGAUUUGGCGGCAGGGAUUUUAGUGUGCAAACCAAUCUCAGUUGUUCUUCUCUCCCGGCAUGGAUUGUUGGCGAAAAAUAAUUUAGGAAGAUGAAGAGAAAAAGAAACGAUGAUGUAUUGAGGAGUAUGGAGCAUUUCAG
rnacentral:lncRNA from 1 species